rnacentral:lncRNA from 10 species
CCGUUCCCGGCCUCUUCGGGGACGCACGGUUGGAAGUUGUACCGUGACGUGAUGGUCAGAUCGGAUGAUAGAAUUUUGGGAACAACAAUAGCAGAGGCCUUUGUUGCCCUCUCCGCGAAACUGCCCAGUAACCUGGCAUUAGACGGGUCCCUGGCUGACCUGAUAAAGAAGCUCCCUGUACAAACAUCAAUUAAUGCAGGCAGCACAUCAAAGCAUUGUGGAGACAUGUCUGUGCCUCCCUCCAGACCAUCAAUUCUCAACUCAGGCUGCUCGUUAGACAUACCUGAGGAGCUUUCGAAAGAAACCAGUGCCUAGACCCCAUGCACAGAGAUUUUAAUGUAAUUGGUCCAGAUGAAGCCCCAGCAUAACUAAUCUGUAAAAGCUCCCCAAGUGAUUUGAAUGUGCAGGGUGUUUUGAGAACCCUGCCAUAGACCCAGCACCUUAAGAACCCUGUCUAUGUCCCCUUCAACUAGCACAUAAGGCUCACAGGAAAUCCUCACUGAAUGAAUAAACAAAUAAAUGGAUGGCAGAGAAUUUCUGCUCCAAUUCUGCAGCCCCUAGUGGGCAGUGUGCACUGUCCUAAGUGUGGUUCCUCCUUCCCCCCAGAUCUCCCUCCUUCACCGAGUUUGCACUCAGACUCCCUUAAUUAACCACAUCUGCAGCUCCAGCUGGGCUCCUGCUUCUCCCACAGCUGCUGUGCUGGACACCCUAGUUCCACUCUUUUCCUGGAAGCUGCCCUAGUCUUAGAAGGAAAUAACCCUCCAUCAACAGCCAGGCUCAAUUCUUGUGCCUCAGUUAAAGCCCCUGCCCAGUGUGAGAGAGGAACAGGGGGAAAGGGAGGAUUGCUCAGCUUUCUGUCCCACAUUCAGCUACAGUCCCGAAAUGGACACCAAGUAGCCAGCAGCAGAGUGUCCGGCCCUCAGAGAAAAGGUUUGCUUGUUGCUUCUCCUGCCUAAGUGUAGAAAGUUAUCUGAUUCCUUAGACAAAUGUGAGUCUGCAAAAUUCCCCUGUUGACAUCACAGGAAUAAGUCUGUGGUGAGUACAUCCUCAGAGAUGAUAUCAUCUGGCAUCCUACCAUCUGGUCUGGUCCCCAUCAUGCUUCUGAAACUGCUUGUUCAAAGGUAACCUACAGGGCCAGCCUCACAGGCAUGCGGCUGACGAGGUCCCACAAGACCUCAUGCCCUGUGCUCACAAGAGCUCUGCACUUGGUUUUACACUCUGCUGCUGUCGUCAUCUUAAAAUUCUUUUUUAUUUUU